rnacentral:rRNA from 1 species
AGCAGCCGCGGUAAUUCCAGCUCCAAUAGCGUAUAUUAAAGUUGUUGCAGUUAAAAAGCUCGUAGUUGAAUUUCGAGACCGGUUUACUGGUCGUGCUUUUGUACGUACUGGUAUUAUUGGUUUCUCCUUUCUGACGAAUCUUAAUGCCAUUAAUUUGGUGUUUUGGGGAAUCAGGACUGUUACUUUGAAAAAAAUUAGAGUGUUUAAAGCAGGCUCACGCUUGAAUACAUUAGCAUGGAAUAGCGGAAUAGGACGUUUGAUUCUAUUUUGUUGGUUUCUAGGAUCGACGUAAUGAUUAAUAGGGAUAGUUGGGGGCAUUAGUAUUCAAUUGUCAGAGGUGAAAUUCUUGGAUUUAUUGAAGACUAACUACUGCGAAAGCAUUUGCCAAGGAUGUUUCAUUAAUCAANAACGAAAGUUAGGGAUCGAAGACGAUCAGAUACCGUCGUAGUCUUAACCAUAAACUAUAGCCGACUAGGGAUCGGAUGAUGUUAAUUUUUUAAUGUACUCAUUCGGCGCCUUA